rnacentral:rRNA from 1 species
GAUGAACGCUGGCGGCGUGCCUAAUACAUGCAAGUCGAGCGAACGGACGAGAGUGCUUGCACUCUCUGACGUUAGCGGCGGACGGGUGAGUAACACGUGGGUAACCUACCUAUAAGACUGGGCUAACUUCGGGAAAUCGGAGCUAAUACCGGAUAAUAUUUAGCUUGGCAUGAAGCAAUAGUGCACGACGGUUCUGCUGUCACUUUCAGAUGGACCCGGGGUGUAUUAGCUAGUUGGUGAGGUAACGGCUCACUAAGGCAACGAUACAUAGCCGACCUGAGAGGGUGAUCGGCCACACUGGGACUGAGACACGGCCCAGACUCCUACGGGAGGCAGCAGUAGGGAAUCUUCCGCAAUGGGCGAAAGUCUGACGGAGCAAUGCCGCGUGAGUGAAGAAGGUUUUCGGAUCGUAAAACUCUGUUGUAAGGGAAGAACAAGUACGUGAGUAACUGAACGUACCUUGACGGUACCUUACCAGAAAGCCACGGCUAACUACGUG